rnacentral:rRNA from 1 species
UACGUAGGGCGCAAGCGUUGUCCGGAAUUAUUGGGCGUAAAGAGCUCGUAGGCGGUUUGUCGCGUCUGCUGUGAAAACCUAAGGCUCAACCUUGGGCUUGCAGUGGGUACGGGCAGACUAGAGUGCGGUAGGGGUGACUGGAAUUCCUGGUGUAGCGGUAGAAUGCGCAGAUAUCAGGAGGAACACCGAUGGCGAAGGCAGGUCACUGGGCCGCAACUGACGCUGAGGAGCGAAAGCAUGGGGAGCGAACAGG